UACGACCUCAACUCAAGCAAGGCUACCCGCUGAACUUAAGCAUAUCAGUAAGCGGAGGAAAAGAAACUAACUAGGAUUU
rnacentral:rRNA from 2 species